AUUUUCAGUUUUUGGGGAGGGAACUGAGCAUCGUUUUAGAAAAAGAGGGAUUUUUGUUGAGCAAGAAACCUAAGAAACUUGGACAAAAGAUCUGGAAUCUACAAAUUUUCCUUACAAAAACACAGUUACUUUAAUCGGGUUCGUUCGAGUUCGAGUAGAGAUCCGAGAUUCAUACCCCGUUCACUGCACCUACAAAAGUCCAAGCGAUUCCUCAUCUUCCCCGCAUUUCGACGUUGGGCCAAAAGCCCAACAAAACUCUACUCGAGUCGGCUUAAUAUGGUAGCAGUCCAGCCUGCAGCACAAACAAAAAACAUAAAUUCUGGGCUAAAACCCAAUAGGCCCGACCACUGUAGCAGCAGUCCAAGAAAAAAUGGGCCUAACCCAUUCACUCUUCACUCCCUUCAUCAUUUUUAUAGUCGUGUAUUUUAUUUGCCUUGUAUGACUAACAUUUUUUUUUGUCUCACUAGAUUAAAUGAACCGUAGUAAAGUUAGUAGGACUUAGUUUAGUAAUGGGUAGCUAGUUUCACAAAUUACAUUCACUUCCAUUUUCUAAAUUAUUUAUAGUAUUUAUAAUAUUUUGAGUAAUUACUUUUCAAA